ensembl:lncRNA
GGGUCUGCAGAAUAUCUCAAGCACUCAUCUUAGGUUUUGCAAUAGUGAUGUUACCCCAGGAGCAAUUUGGGGAGGUUCAGAAUCUUGGAGCCAGCAUGACAUCUAAACUGUAAUUUCUAAUCUUGUAGCUAGUUUGUUAGUCCUGCAAAGGCAGACUAGUCCCCAGGCAAGAAGAGGGUCUUUUAGGGAAAAGGGCUGCUAUCAAUUUUGUUUCAGAGUCAAACCAUGAACUGAAUUCCUUCCCAAAGUUAGUUUGGUCUAUGACCAGGAAUGAACAAGGACAGCUUGCUUAAAGUUUAGAAGCAAGAUGGAGUCAGUUAGGUCUGAUUUCUUUCACUGUCAUAGUUUCCUCAGUUAUGAUCUUGCAAAGGUGACUUCAGGUAUGGGGUGGGCUUUGAGGGCUUGAGCAGAAACUGCAAUCAAGUGGGCAGAGAGAACCAGUGAGAAGGGCCAUUGCUGCCCACAAGCCCACAAACCACGAGGCACAGCCACCUCUAACCACAGUGCAGGUUUCAGCCUGCCCAGGACUCCCACCUGAGAGGGGAAUGCACAGGGGCUCAGCCAGACCCUGUUGGCCAUGCCCAGAACCUUGGCUGCAUCAACCCCGGGGAAGGAAUGCCUUCCAACUCAUCUGUUCAGGGAAGUCCCUAUUUUUCUAACUUAUGGAAAGCUUUGAGUGUGCUAGCUGUGGCCCGGCCACUAUAUCUUGUUUAAAGUAGACAUGGUGUGAUCCCUGCCCUGGGCCCCUAGUGUGUGAACAGCUUCCAAACAGGCAGCUGAACACUUGAGUCUUGCUCUUAUUUUCCAGCUUCUACUUGGGUUCCUUUCUUUUGACUGAUAGGUGUGCUGUGGACAGUGGAGAAGAUCACAGGGCUGGGCACCCCAGCGCACUUGCCCCUUCGCAGGCGUGUGACACUCUCUCAGGCCUUCCUACCUUUGCAUUGCUAUUCCCUUGGUCUGAAUGCCUGUGCCCUGUCUACCUGGGAACUCGUGGGCCUCCUUGAAGAAGGGGCCUUGCACCACCAUCAGGGUACAAGGUGGUCUUUCCCCGUCACCCUACUCUGGCCUGGCUGAGGUGGGUACCCAGCUGUGAAUGCUCAGGGCGGUUGAGCCUGGGGAUCUGGGAGGGGUCUCACCCUGACAAGGUGGGAGGAAAGAGGCCCGAGAGAGACUUGAAAUCUUUGCCCGAGGGUCAGCAGCCUUUGCAUUCUGCUCUAUAAUAUAUCCUAAUUUUGCAAAGAGAUACCCCGAACCUGGAAAGGCAUAUGUCUCAGAACUGAUAGGUAUAGACAGACAGACACAUACAUACACAGACAGAUGGACAGACUCUCACAGAGAGAUUUGAAGGGGGAGCAAUGAACCAGUAAACAUUUUCAUACCAACUUUAUAAUAUUUUUCCAGAGGAAAAAUAAGAAAACCGGCUCACACCUGUAAUCCCAGCACUUUGGGAGGCUAAGGCAAGUGGAUCACUUGAGGUCAGGAGUAUGAGACCCACCUGUCCAACAUGGAAAAACCCCAUCUCUACUAAAAAGCCAGGUCUCGAAGCCAGCUACCCAGGAGGCUGAGACAGGAGAAUCACUUCAACCCAGGAGGCGGAGUUUGCAGUGAGCCAAGGUCACGCCACUGCAUUCCAGCCUGGGCAACAGAGAGAGACUCUGCCUGAAAAAAAGCAAAAGAAAGAAAAAAAAAAG